AUUGAACGCUGGCGGCAGGCCUAACACAUGCAAGUAGAACGAGUGGCGGACGGGUGAGUAAUGUCUGGGAAACUGCCUGAUGGAGGGGGAUAACUACUGGAAACGGUAGCUAAUACCGCAUAACAUCAGAUGUGCCCAGAUGGGUUGAGCUAGUUGGUGGGGUAACGGCUCACCAAGGCGACGAUCCCUAGCUGGUCUGAGAGGUUGACCCGCCACACUGGAACUGUGACACGGUCCAGACUCCGACGGGAGUCAGCAGUGGGGAAUAUUGCACAUUGGGCGCAAGCUGGAUGCAGCCAUGCCGGGUGGAUGAAGAAGGCCUUCGGGUUGUAAAGUACGUUCAGCGGGGAGGCGUUACCCGCAGAAGAAGCACCGGCUAACUCCGUGCCAGCAGCCGCGGUAAUUC
rnacentral:rRNA from 1 species